ACAGCGAAACCCUGUAAGCCGGGAACUAUGCUUUCUGAUGGCUGCACCACAUGUACCUGUAACCCAGAUGGGACGACUGCUACAUGUACCAUGAGCGACUGUUCAUCCCAGCUUCCUGGAGAGGUUUGUCCAGACUGUGAGCAGAAACCAUAGAAAAAGUCUGGUGCUGUGAAGAGUUGCUUGUGAACAAACUAUGAAAUUUCAUGUACUACAGCAUGUAAUUUAUGCUGAUUUAUUGAGAAAUAAAAACUUUUUGUGAACCUGA